rnacentral:rRNA from 1 species
UACGUAGGGUGCGAGCGUUGUCCGGAAUUAUUGGGCGUAAAGAGCUUGUAGGCGGUUUGUCGCGUCUGCUGUGAAAAUCCGGGGCUCAACCCCGGACUUGCAGUGGGUACGGGCAGACUAGAGUGUGGUAGGGGAGACUGGAAUUCCUGGUGUAGCGGUGAAAUGCGCAGAUAUCAGGAGGAACACCGAUGGCGAAGGCAGAUCUCUGGGCCGUUACU